GCGAUCCACGCAAAACAACAAAAUAGAAAGGAAAUGAAGUAUUUGUCGACGCAAGGCUCUAAAUCAAUGGCAGCGAUCCGUAACGAAUAUGAUGAACCUGAUGAGCAUGCUAUUGAUGCUUGGAAAGAUACUCAUAUAAAAAAAUCUACGAAGACUUGGGUUAGCGAAACUUGCAAAGAACUACAUGAACAAAUGACCCAAGAGAUGGAGAGGCAAAAUAUUCAAAGUAGUCGGUCAGGUUCUGAAUCUGCUUCUAGUGAA